UUUACUAAUGGAGGAGAAUUUUGUAUGUGUGUGUUUAUAUGCAUGUGCACACACACUUGGGUCUUGAGCUGCUCUUAUUUUUCCUGGUACAGCCCAGAAUGCAGAGAAGAGCACCUUUCCCAAGAGCGGAUGAGGCCCAGAAGAGAUGUUCAGAAACUAAGGAACCUGAGUAUGCUUCCUAUCCUCUACAUGUACAUUUAAGAGAAGAUGAGAGAUUAUGUCAAAAUUGCCUACCACUUAAAGGCACACUAUGAAAUUAAGAGCAAAUUGCUGUCAGAUGGUAAAUGAAAGUCAUUUGUUACUGUUAUCUAUUAACAUUUAUUAUGGUCAUUGAUUGUCUCUAACAAAGGGUAUAUGAAGGAGGAAAUCACAUCUCCCAGAAAAAUAAAACAAAGCUCAAAAGGUUCAACAAAUGGAAGACAAUGAUCCUUUGAUUCAAAUACACAAUUAACCAGUGUUGGGUAUCCUAGUUGAACCUGACUAUGGGGGAGAAUACAAGAUAGCAUGGUUUCUGUCCUUGGAAAAAUAAAAGUCAAUAAGGAAAAAUAACAAAAAGAAGUAAACAAAAGAUUAUCUCAGGACUCUGUGUACCACAGUAAUCUUAAGAGGAAGCUGAAAUGCUAGGUCUACGUUUCUUAGUACCUUAGUCCCACCCCAAAUUCCAAAUCCUGCACCAUGUUAGGGAUUGAACUCAGGUCCUUGAAUCUGCCAAGCAAGCAGUCUACCACUAUGGGUUCCUUAGUA
rnacentral:lncRNA from 1 species